rnacentral:rRNA from 1 species
UACGGAGGGAGCUAGCGUUGUUCGGAAUUACUGGGCGUAAAGCGCGCGUAGGCGGCUUUGUAAGUUAGAGGUGAAAGCCCGGGGCUCAACUCCGGAAUUGCCUUUAAGACUGCAUCGCUAGAAUCCGGGAGAGGUGAGUGGAAUUCCGAGUGUAGAGGUGAAAUUCGUAGAUAUUAGGAAGAACACCAGUGGCGAAGGCGGCUCACUGGCUCGGUACUGACGCUGAGGCGCGAAAGCGUGGGGAGCAAACAGG